UUUAUGCAGGAAUUUUACACACACUCAAAACCAAAACAAACCGCACAGAUACACAGACAAUAGAUAACCAGACUAACCUGAAUGACAAUGACACACAAUAGCUUAUUUGACAUAACUUGCAUACAACAAUUAAUGUCCUCCAUAACUUUCAUAGAAUGACUACAAAAUGACCGUUUAAAUGUACAUAGUUUUACGACGAAGAAAGAUAGUGUAGUCCAGUGUCCAGUUUUCUUCCCGUUUCGUGUAGUAAAUCCAAUAGAAAUUGAUGAACCAGAUUAUGUUGACAAGUUUUCACGCAAAGAUUGAA